CAUGAUUGGCUUAGCCAGGAUUGUUUAGAGGGUAGUCGCAGUCACCCCAACUCCGACUGGUUAGAUUGCUUUGUCAGUCUAAUUAGUAAGGUGAGAAACAACUAUUGUUGGAAACUUUAAUUUUUUUAAAAAAUUAAGGAACUGU
rnacentral:ncRNA from 1 species